UACGGGAGGCAGCAGUGAGGAAUAUUGGUCAAUGGGCGCGAGCCUGAACCAGCCAAGUAGCGUGCAGGAAGACGGCUCUAUGGGUUGUAAACUGCUUUUAUACAGGGAUAAAGUGCGCCACGUGUGGUGUAUUGCAGGUACUGUAUGAAUAAGGACCGGCUAAUUCCGUGCCAGCAGCCGCGGUAAU
rnacentral:rRNA from 1 species